rnacentral:lncRNA from 1 species
UUUUGACUUAUUUUUUUAGAAGUGUGUAGAAUUUGAGUUAAGAUCAACGGUUUAUUCAUUAGUUAUUGAGGUUUAAAUCUAUUGUAGGAAUUAUUAGGAUUUGAUUUAGGAUUUGGUUAGGAUUUGGUUUGGGGUUUAGGAUUUGGAUUAGGAUUUGAUUUAGGGUUUAGGAUUUGGUAGGAUUUGGAUUAUGGUUUGGUUUAGGAUUUGGUUAGGAUUUUAUUUAGGAUUUGGUUAGGAUUUUAUUUAGGAUUUAGGGUUUGGUUAGGAUUUGGUUUAGGAUUUAGGAUUUGGUUAGGAUUUGGAUUAAGGUUUGAUUUAGGAUUUGGAUUAGGGUUUGAUUUAGGAUUUAAGGUUUGAUUUAGGAUUUAGGAUUUUAUUAGGAUUUAAGAUUCAAUUAGUUUUGGCCUAAAGUUUGAAUGAAGUUGAAUAAGAUUUUAAUUAGAAUAAAAUUAAGAUUGAAUUGAGAUGUAUUUGAGUGAUAUUUGUUUACUUUCUAAUAUUUCUUUAAGAAUUCUUAUCGUUUGUUUGAAAU